rnacentral:lncRNA from 1 species
AUUAUUAGGACUAGAUUACUCCAUUUUCUCUAUAAAGGGAAGGCGUGUAUCUAGUGUUGAUGAGAUAAGAAAAGUGUAAGAAAAUCUCUGUUACAAAAAAAGAGAAUGGAGUGUGUUGUAGCUGUUGGCGAAGCUAGCACCCGGCGAGCUAGGGCGACCAUACUUGCUGGCUUAUUCGGAUUUUAUAUUUUGGACGUUCAAGUCGUUGGUGAGCAAUUUGCAGGUUUUUGUAAUUGAAGAAGAAGGCAUGCGAUAGGGCAUGGGUUCAAUUCUCGAGCAGGGCCUUUUCAUCAUGGGAACAUUACAUAUAUAAGAUCUUAACAACCUACGGUUUCAUUUCUAAGAAAUAACGUUCCAUCUUUCAAAAAUCAGAUGAUUAAUAUUAUUUAUCAUAUAUUAUUAAAUUCAUUUCAUAUAAACAUGUAACACACCCCACCCCAUUCAUUACUAGAUUUGAAUUUUUGGAGGCAGACCACUCUCUCUCUCUCUCUCUUUGGCAGCAGCUCUGACGACGACGUCGACGACUGCCCCAACGAUGAUGUCGAUGACUGCCCUGGUGAUGAUGUCAAAAUCUUGGGGUUAUUUUUUGUGGUUUUUGGUGUUGUGCAAAUAGUGGUGAUGUUGGGAUGUUGCCGAAAUUCUAUGGUGGUUGUUGGAUCUUUGAUCAAUGACUGUACAUUUACAUAUGAUAUUGAUCCAAUAUUUUGUGACCAACUCUAUAGGGUCUGUGGCCAGGUGACAAUGAUAACAUAUGAAAUAUGACAUGCGACUUGAUAACUAUUGUCUAUGACCCGUGACAUAUGUAUCGUGGCCUAUAAAUUUGAAUCUAUGACUUGUUAUAUUUGCACAAAAAUAUAUGGCGUUUGAUUUGUGACCAGAUCAGAAGAGUUAAAAUUGAUCUGUAACCCAUUUACACCGAUUUACGACUGUACAAUAUGACAUGUGACCUAGUAUCUCUAACUUGUACAAAAUUAACAUGUGACCAAUAGCAC